UUGUAACUCAAAAGCCUAAUUUGAAGUUUAAGUUAUAAGUUUAUGAGAAAAAAGAACAUGUGAUUUUCAUAGUUCGCCAUGAGAAUUCUAGUUUCAAUUUAAGUACAAUUAUAGUAGCUUUGCCAUUUCCAAUCCUUGUCUCAAUCUUGGCUGUUUUCAUUCAUUUGUCAAAAACAAAAUAACACACAAAACCACCAAUGAAGACAAGUCAGACCUGAACAUUUGGAAACGACCAAACUACAGAUUUGUCAUAAUAUGCUACAAUUAAAAAGACUCACCUUAAAAAGGCAGCAUCCAAAUCCCAGUCGGAGAGAAGAGACAAAAUUGGAGAACAGGCUUCAGAAGUAAAACAUAAAAAUGAAAAAGAAAAAUAUUUAAGCGAAUACCCUUUAAUGUCAAAAGCCUUGACGAGCAAGCUGAGGAGUACCUCGUAAGAAGUGAUCUGCGGGUCAAUGCUGAACUUCUUGUACUCUGGGGUGAGGACACCCUCACAUUUCUACAACAUGAAAUAACGGAAUGAACGGUUCUGGUUUUAGCGGAGGGACGCUAAAAAGAUUUUACCAUAACUUUCACCCUUAUCGCCUCACGUUUAUAGCCGAAAAUCUGCGCCAUGGUCUCAAUUCCUCCCGUCUUGAGUUCUCUACAUCCGGAGAAGUUUUUGGACUGAGUUCUGGCGAUCUGAUGUCGAAACGUUUCCAGACAUGAGAAGCCGUCCCUCGUCAAUUCGCAUAAUUUUUUUUUAUUUUUUGCUUUCUCUCAAGGGAAAACUCGGAUAUUUCCAAUCGUAGAGCCCAUUUCAUCGUGAACGCAACCGAUUGCGUUCAGGUAUUUUCACGAAUUUGAAGGCCCGUUUUGUUUCGUCCGACUCGAAAAAACGGGGGAUAAAAUUCCGAUGACAAAGAAGGGCAUGGAAACGUCAAAA